GACGAACGCUGGCGGCAUGCCUAACACAUGCCAGUCGAACGAAACCUCCCGGUCUAGUGGCUAACGGGUUGGCAACGCGUGGGAACAUGCCCUUAUGAUCGGCAUAACUCUCCGAAAUGGGUGCUAGUAACUGAUAAUGUUUUCGGACCGAAGAUUUAUCGCCUUUGGAUGGGCCCGCGUUGGAUUAGCUAGGUGGGAGGGUACAAGCAUGCCACGGCGACGAGCCAUAGUUGGCUGGUGAGGAGGAACAGCGACACUGGGACUGAGACCCGGCCCAGACGCCUACGGGAGGCAGGAGAUGUGAAUAAUGGACAAUGGGCGAGAUGCUGAGCCAGCAAUGACGCGUGAGCGAUGAAGGCGUUAGGGUUGUAAAGCUCUUUUAACCGGGAUGAUAAUGACAGUACCGGGAGAAUAAGCUCCGGCUAACUACGUG
rnacentral:rRNA from 1 species